rnacentral:lncRNA from 1 species
CAGCCUUUCCCUGUCCAGGCCCUUGGUGGGUUGGCUGAUGCUGUCUGGGCCUAAAGGCAUUGCUUCACUCAGAUAACUAAAUCAGAUGCUGACCACUUCUGGAAGCAACCUCAUACACACUCCAAAACUCACAUUUCAGUAGAUGCCCGGGAAUCCCAUAGCCCAGUGAAGCUGGCAGGUGCAAUUGACUGUUACACUUUAGAGGUCUUCUGAAUGGCUCCAAUUUAGUUUUGUCCUGCAUCCAUGUUCUCUUCCACAUGAUUUUGUGAUUUCCCUCACUAACCAGGAAGAACCCCCCUUCCACUUUUGAAGCAGCUGAAUGGGAUAAUGUGCCAGAAUAGACCCAAAACCAGGUCUCAAGAGGUUGGAGGAGCACUGCCUGUUGUUGUCUGAGUAUCCUGCCAUCACGCCUGUCUGUUGGUCUUGGGAGAAGGAGGCUGCAUAUUUCGCUCCACAUUCUUCCUACAUCAUACCAUUGGGUUUAUGCAAACGAGCCUUGUCACUGCAGAAGUGUUGGCCCCAGUGGAACAAGCUAGUGAUGGUCAGGGCUGAGGAGAGAAGCACAAGAAACCGUUUCUGCAGCAGAAGCUUUGGCUCGAGCUCAUACUUUGAGCAGUACGGUCUGUUGAGAAGCAGAUUGCCUGUGGUGGGCAACCGGUGAGUUUUAGAUGCUGAAGCAGAGAACCUGUGGGCUGUCAGCUCCAUUGCCUCCUCUACUGGUUCAUCGCUGAGCUCAGAGCCUGGUGCCAGCCAAACUUCAUCUUCAGGACCCCAGGCCUCCCACAGUGAGUGUUGGGCUCCUGGACUCCUCAUAUGACUUUAAGAGGGGGCUCUGCAGGGGAGUUGCUGGCUGUGAUGAAUCAGUAGGAAGCAGUCUUCAGCUACUCCGAAGCCUCAGGGUCUCACGGGUAGGAUAUGGGAGAGGCUAGUUGGACCUAAGAGUGGCACCUCGUGCUUACGUCCCCACUUGUCUCUAUGAUUCCUCCGGUUCUCUACCCAGAGUGAAGAGGAUGUGACAAGGAAGUGAGAGAAAUGGCUGGUGCCAUGGGGAAAGGCCUUCUACAGACUUGCCAGCUUGAAUGGGGUAUUUUGAGACUGAGCAGUGAGCCGCCUUAGUUUCAACUUCCCUCAUUCCUUACUGCCCACUUGGGGACCUUCACU